AGGAAGGAAGGAAGGAGGGAGGAAAGGAGAGAAGGAGGAAAGGAGGGAAGGAAAGAAGGAAGGACGGAAGGACAAAGGGAAAGAAGGAAAAAGGGAGGAAAGGAAAGAAGAAAAGAAGUGAAAAAGGAAGGGAAGAAAGAAAGGAAGGAAAGGAGGAAGGAAGGAAGGAAAGGAGAGAGGAAGGGAAGAAAGAGGAAGAUGCUGAAUGGAAUGGAAUGGAGAAAUGGAAUAUAGAAAUAAAAGAUGACUUUACCAUAAGAUCAUAGAGUUAAAGCUGCGAGGGACCUCACUUCAUCUAGAAGGAAGCUUUCAGUUUUUGGAAGGAGACACUGAGACCCAGGGAGGCUAAAUCACCUUCUACAGGAUCUAUGAGUGGCUUGGGAGAGGAGACAAAGUUGCUGAAGGAAAGAACCCUGGCAAGAAGCUGACAUGAGAGAAGCCGGCUGUCUCCAUUAUGUCUGUAUCCCCAGCUUGCUACAAUGGAGACGUCCUCUUGGGAGACACCCUGUUUUCCUGAAUUAAAGUCCAGCAAGCAGGCUUCGCCCUAAGCUUGGCAUAACAACAAACCUUUGCACUGGUCCCUUUGGAUGAAUUCUACCGCAGCAAAAUCCCAGAAUUAUUUCGUACCAGUUCCAGGUGUUCCCUGAGUUUGGACAAAGACCUACAGAAAUCAUGUUCCAGUCAUGAAAUCCUGCGAUGAAUCAAACUUGCCUCUUGCUGCCAUCACCAUCUCAUUACCAUGGCUACUGCUCACUGUGUAUUUCUUUGUCUUGCUGCUACUAUAUGUAUUAAGGCUUGUCCUUGCUGUAAUGGGUCUCCUCUGUAUUAGAGCAGACCCUGGCCAGCAUAUACAAUUUCUGUGACAUAUAAAAAGUUAAAGAGACAUAGUUUCCAGGUAAUUAUUUUAUUAAUUAUACUAGUGGAAAAUUAAUAAAAGGAUGGUCAUUUGGCUGUGUCUCAUAAACUAGGGACCACAGAGUUCAAAUGCUCUUGGAAGAGUGAGUAUUCCUGAGGGAAUAAAUCAAUUCUGAUUGGUCAACAGUUAAUAAGAUAAUGAGUUGGGAUAUUCCAAUGAGGAGCUGGAGUAUAUGACUAACCAUUCAGGCUUGAACAAAGAGAUUUGUCUCUUAUCUAGACAAAAGAGGAGUCUCUACUCAGACUAGGCUGACUAAAACACAGUGGGUCAGAUUUCAGUGCACUAGAAUCUCUUUACUUUUGGAUCAGAUCUAAAUUUUCACAAUGGGGUGCAACUGCCCAAGAUUUUAUCUCUUUAUCA